GUAGGGUCCAAGCGUUGUCCGGAUUUAUUGGGCGUAAAGAGCUCGUAGGCGGUUCCGUAAGUCGGAUGUGAAAACUCAGGGCUCAACCCGGAGACGCCAUCUGAUACUGCGGUGACUGGAGUCUGGUAGGGGAUCACGGAAUACCUGGUGUAGCGGUGAAAUGCGCAGAUAUCAGGUGGAACACCGAUGGCGAAGGCAGUGAUCUGGGCCAGUACUGACGCUGAGGAGCGAAAGCGUGGGGAGCAAACAGGAUUAGAUACCCUGGUAGUCCACGCCGUAAACGUUGGGCACUAGGUGUGGGUCCUCAUCAACGGGAUCCGUGCCGUAGCUAACGCAUUAAGUGCCCCGCCUGGGGAGUACGGCCGCAAGGCUA
rnacentral:rRNA from 1 species